UGGUUUCUGAAAAGUGAAGGUUAAGAAAAAUCCACAGUCAAAACUGAGGUUCUUGUCUCCCAGCUUUUCCUUCAGUGCUGUUUUUGAGAUGCACAUUACAACAGGUACCCAUAAGCUGAGAGAGAGGCUGGCAGAGGUACUUUAGACCAUCUUGUGUCACUUUCUAGUAUUCACAACUGUCAUAUGUAUUCUCAGAGCACAAAGGCAGUGUGGAAAGAAAAAAAUAAAUCAAUGACAAUGUAGAGAAGAGCAACUGUCCAGCAGAAUUUUAAUAGAAGUUUUGUGUAUUGCUUAAAAAAAAAAAAAAAAAAGUUGGAAAAUGUUAAAUUGUGGCUCCUUAAUUCCAGGGAUUUAAACAGUCUUGUCUCCAGAAACUGUCCUGCAGCCUUUUCUUUUGUGUUUGUGUAAGGGAAAAGGGAUCUGUGUAGUACACCAGGAAGAACAAACUUCAAAAAGCCUUGAAAAAAAUCAAAGUAUGACUGAAAACAAUACCUGUAUUUAUUUUUCUAUAAAUGAUAUGUAUUAGAGCUGCUUCUUGUGUUUGUCAUAACAAAUUCAUAUUAGCUGCUUGUGAUGUGUGUGUCUAACCUGCCUCCUUCUAAGUUUAAAGGGGUUUGUAGCAACCCUUAUUACCUGAAAGAACAGAUGAUGGCCAGAAGGAUGGAGCUGAGGGUGCUGGGACCAUAGCACUUGAUCCCAGUUAUUUGCAGAGCUGCCCUGCUUGGGGAGGACCCAAUCCAUCAAGAACGAAGACUGUUGCUUGCAAGGAGACAAUGUUCAUGGAGAUCUUUUGACUGAGGAGCUAAAGCAACGUGGCAGCGUUGGGGCUGCCCAAGAUUUUCCUCAGUAGGAUAAACAUCCCUGGAGCAGCCUGUGCUGAACCAGGACUGAACUGUGUUGAUAUUUGAAGGCAGAGGCACACGGAGCCAACCCUGGCAACCUCCUGCACACCUGCUCCCCAGGAAGAACAUCUGCCCUCAGCUGAUGGGCAACCAGGGGUGCAAGUCCUGCGGAUCCACGGUUGGACACUGUCUGCACAGUCACAA